GACGAACGCUGGCGGCGUGCUUAACACAUGCAAGUCGAACGGAAAGGCCAUGCUUUUGUGGGGUGCUCGAGUGGCGAACGGGGGAGUAACACGUGAGUAACAUGCCCUUGACUUUGGGGUAACUUCAGGAAACUGGGGCUAAUACCGGAGAGGAGCUCCUGCUGCAUGGUGGGGGUUGGAAAGUUACGGCGGUGGGGGCUGGACUCGCUGCUUAUCCGCUGGAUGGGGGGGUAGUUGAGUACCAAGGCUUUGAAGGGUAGCCGGCCUGGGAGCGUGACCGGCCACCUGGGGCCUGCGAUACGCCCCAGUCGGCAACGGGAGGCAGCAGUGGGGAGUAUUGCACAAUGGGCGGAAGCCUGAGGCAGCAACGCCGCGUUCGUGAUGACGUCCUUCGGGUUGUGAACAGCUUUGGACUGUGACGAAGCCGGAGUGACGGUAAUGGGUAAAAAAGCAACGGCUAACUACGUG
rnacentral:rRNA from 1 species